rnacentral:rRNA from 1 species
UACGAAGGGGGCUAGCGUUGCUCGGAAUCACUGGGCGUAAAGGGUGCGUAGGCGGGUUUUUAAGUCAGAGGUGAAAUCCUGGAGCUCAACUCCAGAACUGCCCUUGAUACUGGAGAGCUUGAGUUCGGGAGAGGUGAGUGGAACUGCGAGUGUAGAGGUGAAAUUCGUAGAUAUUCGCAAGAACACCAGUGGCGAAGGCGGCUCACUGGCCCGAUACUGACGCUGAGGUGCGAAAGCGUGGGGAGCAAACAGG